rnacentral:lncRNA from 1 species
UGGCUAUCAAAGCUGGGCAAUGUGAUCCUCUAAGCCACAUGUUUAGGAAUUGACAAACAAUUGUGGAGGUUGGCAAUUCCAAAAUCUGAGGAGUAGGUAAACUGGAAGACUAGAGACCCUGGGAAGAGUUGAUGUUACAGCUUGAAUCUGAAGGCAGUCUGCUGGAAGAAUCCCCUCUUUCUUGUAGAAGCCCCUUGACUGGGCAAACUUCAAACAAGUGACUGAGCUCCCUUAGCUGCCACUGAUUGGACCAGGAUGGACAACAAAUGUAGGAGGAGUUCAUCUGGAUCUAGCCUGAGCCAGUCAGAUAUCCCCUUUGAAUCCAUGCCUAUAGAAAUACAAAAAAAUGGAAGCCAGAGGAUGAUGGAUCCUUGAAGUAAUAAGUCAGGUAGAUCUUGAAAAUUUUUGACUCAAUCCAUAUUGAUGAACACAAGAAUAAUUCUGGUCUACAAAGAGAGGCAAGAGAAAGACUUGGGGUGUAUUAAGAAAAACAGCUCUGUGGAAGUUUGAGUGACUCAUUGCAGAGAGGAAUUGAUGAAGUCAACAGCUGCUGGAAAAACUUCUUUUUCCUUAAUAGCUGUAUCAACAUGUGGUUGCUAUUAUUCAAGUAAGAAAAAUAUGUAUAUCAAACAUCCAUGGUAGUCCUUGCUAAAAUUUUCAUUAGAGAGACUCAUGUUUUGACAUUAAAAAAAGUUCAAAUGGGUACCUUAGAGGAUGUUUUGUUGGAGAACAAAAUCAUGGAGAAAUAAAGUCUAAAAAGAAAAAUAAAUGGCAAGCAUGUUGUUAAUAAUGCUGUAAUUUAUUUCAGAGUGGGUUGGGUGAUUUUCUUCAUGGCAUUAUUAGUGGCACUGCAGAAAUUU